UUGACCUCGGAUCAGGUAGGGAUACCCGCUGAACUUAAGCAUAUCAAA
rnacentral:rRNA from 20 species